rnacentral:rRNA from 1 species
GUUCCCCUUGAACGAGGAAUUCCUAGUAAGUGCAAGUCAUCAGCUUGUACUGAUUACGUCCCUGCCCUUUGUACACACCGCCCGUCGCUCCUACCGAUUUCGAGUGAUCCGGUGAACCUUCUGGACUGCGCUAACAAUAGUUAGUGCGGGAAGUUAAGUAAACCACUUCACUUAGAGGAAGGAGAAGUCGUAACAAGGUUUCCGUAGGUGAACCUGCGGAAGGAUCAUU